rnacentral:rRNA from 1 species
GACAGAGGUGCCGAGCGUUAGGCGGAAUCACUGGGCGUAAAGCGCGUGUAGGCGGUCUGUUAUGUCGGGUGUGAAAGCCCUCAGCUCAACUGAGGAAGUGCGCCCGAAACUGGCAGACUUGAGUGCCGGAGAGGAUAGCGGAACACCCGGUGUAGAGGUGAAAUUCGUAGAUAUCGGGUAGAACACCAGUGGCGAAGGCGGCUAUCUGGACGGACACUGACGCUGAGACGCGAAAGCGUGGGGAGCAAACAGG